rnacentral:antisense_RNA from 1 species
UUCUGGCGAUUCUGGAGGGGAAACUGGAGAGUAUUCAGGUACAGCGACUGAUGUCGUUAUAGAUAAAAGCAAGAGGAAAGAAGAGAAGUGCGCACCAAAUCAAUAAUGAUUGAAAUGGUGCGUCCGAGUGGACUCGAACCACCGACCCCCACCA